rnacentral:lncRNA from 1 species
GUGAGUUUUUGUUGGGGAUUUUGUUUUUAAGUAAAUUCUCUUAAGACUAUGCUAGGGCAAGUAGAAUGUGAUGACACCAGAAGUGAAAGGAUCCUGAAAUCCUGGCAUCAGGAUGUGCGGGGUUUUAGGAAUGGCAGUGUGGCUCAAAAAGACUUCUUAUGAGAAACAAAAAGACUCCCAAUUCUCUUCUUCAAGGCACCUUUGGUUACCAACCAUUUAGGAGACUGAGCCCUAAGCCUUUCCCCCCACCCCGCCGCCCCCACUGUGUACAAAAGACAAGAUGCUGUGAACAUGAGGAUAAUAUCCACUAGAAGCCUCUAUCAUUCAUUUUGGCUUUGUGACAACUUCCCUGGAAACUCAACAUCUUGAGGGGUGAAGUUGGUUUUUGUUUGUUUUUUUUUAAAGGUUGGCACCUGAGCUAACAACUGUUGCCAAUCUUUUUUGUUUCCUGCUUUUUUCUCCCCGAAUCCCCUCAGUAUAUAGUUGUAUAUUUUAGUUGUGGGUCCUUCUAGUUGUGGCAUGUGGGACAUCACCUCAACGUGGCCUGAUGAGCAGUGCCAUGUCCGCGCCCAGGAUCCGAACCGGCGAAACCCUGGGUCACCGAAGAGGAGCGUACAAACUUAACCACUCGGCCCCUUAGGAUGAAAUUUUUUUACUGCAAAGUUUCAGUGUCACUUUAGUGAGAUCAUAGAACACUCUUUUCUUGCACUAGAACCAGGCAGAAAGUCUCACUCACUUACAGCCAGCACAGUCCCCAGGCUCAUUAUGGCCUAACUGGUCACCUAAAGUAAUGAAAGGGGGAACAGCUUAUUCUUGUUCCAGUUGCCAUUUGACCAAAAUCCUACCAGAGUCACCUAUCUGUGAGCGUUUAUUCCUCACUAUGGAAUGUAACUCUUGCUCAUCCCUGAAAAACUUGAGUGACCCGUUAUAUUGAAUGGUGAACCCAUUCCAGAAGGUGGACUGAACUGGCUCCAGAACUGGUGAAAGCAUCCUUUUUGCUUCACAUUUCGGGACUCUUGUGAAUUAUCAGCACAUCAAGCCCUAACUAGAAAUGCAAGAUCUUUCAAAUUUCACGAACUACAGCAGUAAAUAUUGCUCUAAGGAUACAGGAAAUCCAUUAGCCCUUAUUAUCCAUUGAGCCAGCAGGAUACUUACUAAGCUUGUGGAGAAGCCAGUGAACGCUACAGGCUUGGCCUGCCCCAGAGAGCUGACCUUCUGGGGACCUGAGCAUCUGAGGAACAAAGCCUUUAUAACCCAGGAACUGUGUGGUGCUGCUUCGAAGGUUUAGCAUUUGCUGGAAAAGAAUAAGGAUAUGUUGGUCUACAUUCGUUAUUCAGGGUCAAGUAUCAAAACAAAAUCCCAUAUUAGGCUUUGGCAUAACCCGAAUUUGAAUUAUGGGAGAUAAAUGAUCUUGGCAUUAUACUGGAGUUUUUGGGCGGAAAAAGUACUAUAAAAGGAGACUCUAAGGCAUUGUGUAAUACUAAAAACCACUAGUUGAAAAUUAAAACAUUUUAAAGUUCAUAAUAAAA